GAUGGCUCUAGAGUGUUCCCGUUCCUUGUUACCGAAAAGGGAAAGGUUUCCUAAAGAAGACUUGAUCGUUUUGAUGAGAGAAGUUUCUGUGUGUUUGUUCUCAACUCCAUUGGUUAACAAAUGGAUUUUCUUGAGGUCUUUCUUGAGCUGAGAGUAAUCGACAAAGGCGUCUUUCCAUUCAGGCACAAGCUGUCCCUCAAACUGCUUAGUGAACUUCACCAUAUCUUUUCUCUCUUAAGUCUUAAAUUUGAGAAGAAGAGAGUGUGUUUGUUUUGUUGAGUGUAGGGCAAGAGAGGACGAUGAGGUUUGUUUUAUAGUGGACAAAAGAAAAGGCAGAGAAAGAGAAGAAUAUAUUUGACUAGGCUUGCUUGCUCCUACUGAUGAUGCCUCACAAAGCACAUUCUCAAAUAUCCUUCCUAAAACCAAAUCACAUGUUCAAAUUUUUUUAUCCUAUGCUUCUUCAACUUGUGCUUUUAGGGAGGUAAAUCUAGUGUCACGUGGGGACCUAUGUUCUCGCCGGAAUAUAUUCACCAAUACUUUUCUGGUCGCCGGAGCUUCUUGUAUCACUGUCCACAACUACAAAUGUUUCAUCUAUGACUCUAUGAGUGAAGCUUGUAACGAACUAGAUGAACGGUUAAGGGUAAUUUGGGUAUUGUUGAUUGGAUAACCUGAAAUAGUAAGUAGUUUGUAAUGGACCAAAAAUAAGUUAGGUGCCGAGAGACACAAAAGGUGAACUCAGAUAGGACCAGCUCGAUUUCCACUAUGUUUUUUUCGAAUGGUAGUGACUAGUGAGAUUUUGAAAACAUAUCAAUCUUAAAGAAUCGUAAAAAGAAGAACACCAACAACCAAUCAAAUUUUGAUUUUCAUUGUUACAUAUUACAAUUGCGGAUGUCAAAACGAUGUUAUAGCAGAAAAGUAAUGUAAGUUUUUGCCAAUCAGAAAUACAAAAUUACAAUGCAAUUAAAAAGUGCAUAUGCAUGUAGAAAUAAUGUUUACAGUGUUCUUUUUGCUUAUUGCAAAUUUUUAAGUGGCGGCAAUGUCCUAGCAUUAAUUUGAAAUGUAAUUCAAGAAACCGAAGUGUGCAAAAAAAAAAAAUGCAAUCUAUAGCAGGUUCAUCAAAUUUUAUAAUAAACUUCAAUUUGUAAAAGCGUUCAACGUUCUAUUGCAAACAAAAACAAAACAUAUAUAUAUGCUUUAACACAUAGUUAACUGACUGUAUUUUGCAUAACCACAGAAACUUUCCAUAUUUUGUUUGAUAUCAAAGAAUAUAGUUUCGCAUAGGCCUAGUUUCGCAUUCUAGUAAUAAACAAAUAUUAUGCGAAUUCAAAUAUGUUCACUGAGGAACAAAAAUUUGAGUUUUAGAUGCCAUUUUCGUAGUAUGAUUUUAAUAUUUCUCUUGUAUUUUCUUGUUGUUCAUUAUUUUAUAUAUUUUAGGCAAGACAUUACUACAACGCACAGGAUGCCAUAAAGCUUUAUGCACGCGGUUUCUAAGUACGUUUUUGAGCAACCAUUCGAAUGGAUGGCAUUGAAAGUGGUCAUAAUGUGCACAAUACAUAUUCUAUUCUCUGUACUAGUAAUAAAAAUGGUAAAUAUUUUGCGGAUAAGAAAUAUAUAUUUCAAACUAUUGUCUGCUAAAAAGAUUUUCGGAUAAUGAAUUGUAUUUCACUACUGAUGCCUUGUACCUUCUGCCUGAUAUAUUUAGAAUGAUCGGCGUUCACUACACAUAUGAAGGAACUUUUGCGAUAUAAAGAAUUGUUUUAGACUUUUACUAUCCAACAUAUCCCAAAGACGCAAAACAAACUGGCUGAUAAACUGACACGCGAUUCUCGGAAUCUGCCUAUUUUCGUAUAGCCUUUUGUUGUAAAUAUAUAUAUAUACCUUAUGUUUUCGGAAUCUUGCCUUCAUUGUAUUUUCCUUAUACUGACCCUAUGUUUUCUAAAUAUAUAUAUAUAUAUAGGCGUUCUUCCUAUCACAGAAAGUCCAUAUAUUAUUGAAAGAUACAUCUAAAUUUAACGUACAAACUAAAACUCAAAGUCACACUACAGUCACCCAAAAAACUUAUUUACCCUAGUUAUAUCAAAUUCCCUAAAACUUUUAAAAUUUUUAUUAGAAAUAUGGGAAAUUGGUAAAUACAAAAAAUAAUAGAUUUAUUAUCAAAAUUUAUUCUGUUUAGUAAUAUGUGUAAAACACACAUCAUACAUCUUUUAGGAAUAUGGAGUAUUAUUUAAUGAUUUUUAAUUUAAAUUAUAGAAUUCCUGAACCAUAGUAAAAAUUUUGAUUUUUCGGGAACUAUUUUUCUUAAUUUUAAAAAUAUCAGAAUCGGCCGGUCAAACAAAUAAAACCGCAAUCAACAUGAGAAUUUGGACUUGUUAUAGCAUCUCUAACUCACUUCUAUUUUUAGAAUAGCAUUUAAAGACAAAAUGAUUCUAAUUCAUCUCUAUUUUUUUCUCUAAAGUAGAGAUUGUUUUUUUCUCCCUCUAUUUAUGAAGAAAUGAAUAGUAUUUAUAUAUAUUUUAUUAUAUAUAUGAAAAUUGAUAUUUCUUUUUAACUCUGAGAACAUAAGAAGUAGCAUAGUAGCAGAGACAAUAAUCAAAGAUCAAAAUAAAAUAGAAACAUAAACCGAGCCAAAAACUCAUCCAUGUCGACACCUCCAAAAAACCACACCCAUACCCUUAUCUUCAUUCCAUAACUGAUAAACUCACAGUCUUCCAUCCAUAAAUCAUGCUCCUUCACACACACUCGUAAGAAAAACACAAUUUCACACUCCACACAGGUCCUCACCUCCUUGCCCUGGAUUUAUAUAUAUUUUAUUAUAUAUAUGAAAAUUGAUAUUUUAGAAAAAUAUAUUGGAACAAAACUCAUUUCUAUUUUAGAGUUUUUUUAUAUUUUCUAAAAAAAAUUAGCAAAAUACAUUGGAAGUGUUAUUAUACAUUUAAAACGAGAUGUUUUAUUUUUUAAAUCCGCAAACCUUGCAUAAAUCCACGAUAUCACCCGUAUGCGGCGAAUCAAAUCUUCAGUUAUUUACUUUUGUUUGAAUGUCUGAAAUUCAACAACAAUAACGUGUUUUCCUCUUUCCCAUUAUUUGAUACCAUGAUUAAUUUAUAUGUUUGAUAAAUUUUGAAAUUUAGCUGUACGCUAUAGUUUCAUUAAAUUAAGUUUUAUUCGAAGGUAUAUAGUUAAAUUUGUUUCGUAGUUGACUAGUUUUAGCAAUUUAUUAGCUAAAAUUGAUAUUCAAUCUGAAUAUAAUUUUAUGGAUUUACUGUGCUUUUUAUUUUUACAAUUUAGAGUGGUUGAAACUGUUAGAUUAUAAUGUUAGUAUUAGGUUAAGAUCCGCGCCUUUGCGCGGAAUGAAUAUUAUAUAUAAAUUAUUUUUAAGUAUUAUAUUUUUUUUACAUAUUAUGAAAUAAUAAAUAUAUAUUAAAUAAUUAAAAGUUUAGUAACUAUUACGUAUAUAAUUAAAUUGGUACAAAUACUUAAAUAAAUUUUAUUAAUCGAGACAAACACUUUUUCUACUUUAUAUGUUAUAAAAUUAAGUUUACAUGAUAUUAACAUAGAUAUAUAGUAUAUUUUUAAUAUUGACAUCUGUUAAAAUAUAUUUUAUACUCAUAUUAUUUUUGAUCGUUUGUAUUUUUUUAUAACAAAAAUUUUAAAUCAAUGAUAAUAGUAAACAAUUUGUGGGAUGUUUAAUAGUUUUAGUAAUUUAUAAUUUUAAAAAUAUUCAAUGCAAAGUUUAAAAUCUAAAUAUUAAGUUGUCAAUAAUUGUUCAAAAUGUUUAUCAAAAAAAUUCAAAGCAAAUUCGAAAUUAAAAUACUUAUAGACUUGAUCGUUUUGAUGAGAGAAGUUUCUGUGUGUUUGUUCUCAACUCCAUUGGUUAGCAAAUGGAUUUUCUUGAGGUCUUUCUUGAGCUGAGAGUAAUCGACAAAGGCGUCUUUCCAUUCAGGCACAAGCUGCCCCUCAAACUGAUUAGUGAACUUCACCAUAUCUUUUCUCUCUUAAGUCUUAAAUUUGAGAAGAAGAGAGUGUGUUUGUU
rnacentral:lncRNA from 1 species